CAUGCCUAACACAUGCAAGUCGUACGAGAAAGGGCUUCCGGGCCUGAGUAGAGUGGCGCACGGGUGAGUAACACGUAGGUGACCUACCUUAUUGCGGGGGAUAACCAGGGGAAAUUCUGGCUAAUACCGCAUACGUAUCACGAACUAGGAAAGAGAGAUAGAAAGAGUGCCUCUCCUUGGAAGCAUUUACUAUAAGAUGGGCCUGCGUUCCAUUAGCUUGUUGGUGGGGUAAUGGCCUACCAAGGCAACGAUGCAUAGCUGGUCUGAGAGGAUGAUCAGGCACACUGGAACUGAGACACGGUCCAGACUCCUACGGGAGGCAGCAGUGGGGAAUAUUGCGCAAUGGGGGAAACCCUGACGCAGCAAUGCCGCGUGAGUGAGGAAGGCCUUCGGGUUGUAAAGCUCUGUCAGAAGGGAAAAAUGGCAUCGGGACCAAUAGGCCCUGUGUUUGAUGGUACCUUCAAAGGAAGCACCGGCUAACUUCGUGCC
rnacentral:rRNA from 1 species